AGACGAACCGGUCGAACGUUAUUCGGAAUCACUGGGCUUAAAGAGUGCGUAGGCGGUCUGGCAGGUGAGGUGAGAAAUCCCUCGGCCCAACCGAGGAACUGCGCUUCAAACCGCCAGGCUUGAGGAAGAUAGAGGUGAGCGGAACAGAUGGCGGAGCGGUGAAAUGCGUUGAUUUCAUCUGGAACACCUGUGGCGAAGGCGGCUCACUGGGUCUCUUCUGACGCUGAGGCACGAAAGCUAGGGUAGCGAACGGGAUUAGAUACCCCGGUAGUCC
rnacentral:rRNA from 1 species